UCCAAUGUGGUGUAGUGGCCAACAUUGCUGUCUUUCAUAGAGCAGCCGCCAAAAUGAAUAUCUUACACAGCAGCCCGGGGUUCGAUUCCCCGCAUUGGAA